AUGACUUUAAUCACCAUCUUCAUCUGGAUGAUCAUCACCUGCACCUCGGACUCUUUAGGGCAAGUUGUGCUGACACAGUCUGGAGAUCAGACAGUGCAGCCUGAUCAAACUGUCACUAUUACCUGUAAACAUGAUCCAGAGGUUAAUUGUGUGAAUAAUCAAGAAGAAGAAAAGAUCUGUAUGUCCUGGUAUCAUCAGAUUCCUGGAGAAGCUCCUAAACUCCUGAUAUAUUAUACUGAUGUUAGAGCUUCUGGAGUUUCCUCUAGAUUCAGUGGCAGUGAGAGUGGAAACCACAUUGACUUCACUCUGACUAUCAGUAAAGUCCAGCCUGAAGAUUCAGGAGUUUAUUACUGUCAGAGUGAACAUGACACUGGAAACAGUAACACACAGUGA